rnacentral:rRNA from 1 species
UACGGGGGGGGUAAGCGUUGUUCGGAAUUACUGGGCGUAAAGGGCUCGUAGGCGGCCAACUAAGUCAUACGUGAAAUCCCUCAGCUUAACUGGGGAACUGCGUCUGAUACUGGAUGGCUUGGAUUUGGGAGAGGGAUGCGGAAUUCCAGGUGUAGCGGUGAAAUGCGUAGAUAUCUGGAGGAACACCGGUGGCGAAGGCGGCAUCCUGGACCGAGAUUGACGCUGAUGAGCGAAAGCUAGGGGAGCAAACGGG